rnacentral:lncRNA from 10 species
GCCAUGAAGUGCGUGUUUGUUACCGUAGGGACCACCAGCUUUGACGACCUCAUUGCGUGUGUGUCGGCGCCCGACAGUCUGCAAGUGAGUGAGGGAGGCGAGCAGGCGGCGGCUUGGCUCGCCACCCGCCAUCUCCGGCCAUACUGCCAGCCGCGUUAGCCUUGCCUGACCGUCGCGCUCGGAAAGAAACCCCCGCAACUCUACCACAGAAAAUCGAGAGCCUUGGUUACAACCGACUUAUCCUGCAAAUUGGUAGAGGAACGGUGGUACCUGAACCCUUCAGUACUGAGUCGUUUACUCUGGAUGUUUACAGGUGCAGGAAGCUGUUUGGAGACUCUGGAAAAAGGAAAGCCACUCGUAGUGGUUAUAAACGAAAAGUUGAUGAACAAUCAUCAGCUGGAACUGGCAAAGCAGCUACACAAAGAGGGUCAUCUCUUCUAUUGUACCUGCAGCACGCUUCCUGGGCUGUUACAGUCAAUGGACUUAUCAACACUGAAAUGUUAUCCUCCUGGCCAGCCAGAAAAAUUUUCUGCAUUUUUGGAUAAAGUUGUUGGAUUACAAAAAUAAACACUAAACUCUCAACACUUUAAAAGCAACCCCCAAAUUCAACCUAUGUAAUGUGAUUAAAUCAAAUUAAAUACAUAAUAUAUAUUUACAAAAUAAUAUAAUUAAUAAACUUCCUACAUCUAUAGAAUGUAUAGGAAAUUUUAUGUUGUGCACAUUUGCAUUGGGUCCAAAUCCUAAUUGCAGUUUAGUGAAAUUACUAGAUUUUUUUCUAAUCUUCA